rnacentral:rRNA from 1 species
UACGGAGGGUGCGAGCGUUAAUCGGAAUUACUGGGCGUAAAGCGUGCGCAGGCGGUUUGUUAAGAGAGAUGUGAAAGCCCCGGGCUCAACCUGGGAACCGCAUUUCGAACUGGCAAACUAGAGUCUUGUAGAGGGGGGUAGAAUUCCAGGUGUAGCGGUGAAAUGCGUAGAGAUCGGGAGGAACACCAGUAGCGAAGGCGGCCAUCUGGCUGGUAACUGACGCUCAUGCACGAAAGCGUGGGGAGCAAACAGG